rnacentral:misc_RNA from 1 species
GGAAGGAUCAUUAACAGUGUCUAUACAAGACAUGUGAUGUGAUGUGUAUCUGUUGUGCAUGCAUGGUCCACAUGGGCCAUGUUCACUUUUUUUACCCAUUUUCUAUUAUUUCUAAUCCACAGUUUUAAACCUACAAAACUGGCAGCAAUGGAUCCCUCGGUUCUCGCAUCGAUGAAGAGCGCAGCGAAUUGCGAAAAGUGAUGUGAUUUGCACGAUUCGUGAAUCAUCGAAUUCUUGAACGCACAUUGCACCGUGUGGGCGACUACACGGUCUGCCUGUCUGAGUAUUGACCAUAUCUCCUCACUUUCCAGUGGAUGGUGGAUGUUUCACCAGUGGUGACAUCUGCAAUGCAAUACGCGGUCUUGAUCAUUGAGCACAUCUGUGCACUCCAUCUUGACCACUUUCCCAUAUCUCAAUCUCAGAUCAGGUAGGAUUACCCGCUUAACUUAAGCAUAUCAGUCAGCGGAGGAAAAGAAACCAACCGGGAUUCCCCUAGUAACGGCGAGUGAAGCGGGAACAGCUCAGGCUUGAAAUCGAGUUCUCUGGAGAAUCUCGACGUGUGGUCUGACGACGCAUGCUCGGCCUCACCUCUCAUCAAAGUCUUCUGGAAAGGAGCGCCAAGGAGGGUGAUAGCCCCGUUCAUGGUGAGCAGUGGGAGGCCAUGAGAGCUGUGUUCAGCGAGUCGGGUUGCUUGGGAGUGCAGCCCAAACGGGUGGUAUGCGCCAUCCAAGGCUAAAUAUCAGCGAGAGACCGAUAGCGCACAAGUACCGUGAGGGAAAGGUGAAAAGCACUCUGGAGAGAGAGUCAAACGAGCACGUGAAAUUGCUGGCAGGGAAGCGCUGAAUGCCAGUGCGCUCACUCAGUGAUCAGGCUUGCCACGGAGGUCUGCACAACCGUGCAUUGUAUGGUGGUGCGAGUGCUUCCUUGGCUUGCUGCACGCGCUGAUGUGAGGGUCAGCAUGGGUUGAUGGGGUGGCACAACACUUUGGUUUGGCGCACUUUGUGCGUUGAGCCAUGGGUAGCUCCAUGUCGUCGACCGAGGCUUGCGGAUCGAAUCUGGAGCAGGAGUGAGCGUGGAUUGGGCGUGUAGUGCAACAGCAUGCUGGUGCAUUGCUCGGUCGGCUUACAUCUCACUUCUCUCCACCGAUCCCCAGAUGCUGACAAAAUGGCAAACAUCGACCCGUCUUGAAACACGGACCAAGGAGUCUAGCGCACAAGCGAGUGUUUGGGUGGCAAGCCCUUACGCGUAACGAACGUGACAUGCACCACUUGUACGGUGCAGGCCAGUCCCUCACUUGGAGCGGGCUGCGCAUGAGCUCGUGCGCCAGGACCCGAUAGACGGUGAACUAUGCCUGAGCAGGGUGAAGCCAGAGGAAACUCUGGUGGAGGCUCGCAGCGGUUCUGACGUGCAAAUCGAUCGUCGGACUUGGGCAUAGGGGCGAAAGACUAAUCGAACCGUCUAGUAGCUGGUUCCCGC